rnacentral:rRNA from 1 species
UACGUAGGCAGCGAGCGUUGUUCGGAAUUACUGGGCGUAAAGAGUGUGUAGGCGGUGCUCUAAGUUUGGUGUGAAAUCUCCCGGCCCAACUGGGAGGGUGCAUCGAAUACUGGAAUGCUAGAGGGUGGGAGAGGUAAGCGGAAUUCCUGGUGUAGCGGUGAAAUGCGUAGAUAUCAGGAGGAACACCUGUGGUGUAGACAGCUUACUGGACCGACACUGACGCUGAGGCGCGAAAGCUAGGGGAGCAAACGGG